GAUGAACGCUAGCUACAGGCUUAACACAUGCAAGUCGAGGGGAAACGCCAUUGAAGCUUGCUUCGAUGGUCGUCGACCGGCGCACGGGUGAGUAACGCGUAUCCAACCUGCCUCUGACCAAGGGAUAACCCGUCGAAAGUCGGCCUAAUACCUUAUGCAGUCGUCGGAAGUCAUCUGAUGACGACGAAAGAUUUCAUCGGUGAGAGAUGGGGAUGCGUCUGAUUAGCUUGUUGGCGGGGUAACGGCCCACCAAGGCAACGAUCAGUAGGGGUUCUGAGAGGAAGGUCCCCCAAAUUGGAACUGAGACACGGUCCAAACUCCUACGGGAGGCAGCAGUGAGGAAUAUUGGUCAAUGGGCGAGAGCCUGAACCAGCCAAGUAGCGUGCAGGAUGACGGACCUAUGGGUUGUAAACUGCUUUUAUGCGGGGAUAAAGUGAGGGACGUGUCCUUCAUUGCAGGUACCGCAUGAAUAAGGACCGGCUAAUUCCGUG
rnacentral:rRNA from 1 species